rnacentral:rRNA from 1 species
UACGUAGGGGGCAAGCGUUGUCCGGAAUCAUUGGGCGUAAAGCGCGUGUAGGCGGCCAGAUAAGUCCGCUGUGAAAUCUCGAGGCUCAACUUCGAGCUGUCGGUGGAAACUGUCUGGCUAGAGUCCGGAAGAGGAGAAUGGAAUUCCUGGUGUAGCGGUGAAAUGCGCAGAUAUCAGGAAGAACACCCGUGGCGAAGGCGGUUCUCUGGGCAUUACCUGACGCUGAGGAGCGAAAGUGUGGGGAGCGAACAGG